AUUGAACGCUGGCGGCAUGCUUUACACAUGCAAGUCGAACGGUAACAGGGUGCUUGCACCGCUGACGAGUGGCGAACGGGUGAGUAAUGCGUCGGAACGUGCCGAGUAGUGGGGGAUAACGCAGCGAAAGUUGUGCUAAUACCGCAUACGUACUGAGGUAGAAAGUGGGGGACCUUCGGGCCUCACGCUAUUCGAGCGGCCGACGUCUGAUUAGCUAGUAGGUGAGGGAAAGGCUCACCUAGGCGACGAUCAGUAGCGGGUCUGAGAGGAUGAUCUGCCACACUGGGACUGAGACACGGCCCAGACUCCUACGGGAGGCAGCAGUGGGGAAUUUUGGACAAUGGGCGAAAGCCUGAUCCAGCCAUGCCGCGUGUCUGAAGAAGGCCUUCGGGUUGUAAAGGACUUUUGUCGGGGAGGAAAUCCCCAGCGUUAAUACCGCUGGGGGAUGACAGUACCUGAAGAAUAAGCACCGGCUAACUACGUGCCAGCAGCCGCCGUAAGAC
rnacentral:rRNA from 1 species